rnacentral:rRNA from 1 species
UACGGAGGGUGCGAGCGUUGCCCGGAAUCAUUGGGCGUAAAGGGCGCGUAGGUGGCCUGCUAAGCGUGCGGUGAAAGCUCGGGGCUCAACCCCGAGUCGGCCGUGCGAACUGGUGGGCUUGAGCACUGUAGAGGCAGGCGGAAUUCCGGGUGUAGCGGUGGAAUGCGUAGAGAUCCGGAAGAACACCGGUGGCGAAGGCGGCCUGCUGGGCAGUUGCUGACACUGAGGCGCGACAGCGUGGGGAGCAAACAGG